AGAGUUUGAUCCUGGCUCAGGAUUAACGCUGGCGGCAUGCCUAAUACAUGCAAGUCGAACGAGAGUAGCAAUACUCUAGUGGCGAACGGGUGAGUAACACGUAGGAAACCUGCCUCAAAGUCGAGGAUAACUACUGGAAACGGUAGCUAAAACUGGAUAGGAUAUAUUAAGGCAUCUUGAUAUAUUUAAAAGUCCUUCUGGGAAUGCUUUGAGAUGGUCCUGCGGCGCAUUAGCUAGUUGGUGAGGUAGUAGCUUACCAAGGCGACGAUGCGUAGCUGAGCUGAGAGGCCAAACAGCCACACUGGGACUGAGACACGGCCCAGACUCCUACGGGAGGCAGCAGUAGGGAAUUUUCGGCAAUGGGGGAAACCCUGACCGAGCAAUGCCGCGUGAAUGAUGAAAUUCUUCGGAAUGUAAAAUUCUGUUGUGAGGGAAGAAAGGUAGUAUCAGGAAAUGGGUAUUACUUGACGGUACCUUACUAGAAAGCCCCGGCUAACUAUGUGCCAGCAGCCGCGGUAAUACAUAGGGGGCGAGCGUUAUCCGGAAUUAUUGGGCGUAAAGCGUGCGUAGGUGGCCGUUUAAGUCUGUCGUGAAAGCCCACAGCUUAACUGUGGAGGGUCGAUGGAAACUGGAUGGCUUGAAUCUAGAAGAGGUAAGUGGAAUUCCAUGUGUAGCGGUAAAAUGCUUAGAUAUAUGGAGGAACACCAGUGGCGAAGGCGGCUUACUGGUCUAGCAUUGACGCUGAGGCACGAAAGCGUAGGUAGCAAACAGGAUUAGAUACCCUGGUAGUCUACGCUGUAAACGAUGAGCACUAAGUGUCGGACGUAAGUUCGGUGCUGUAGUUAACGCAUUAAGUGCUCCGCCUGGGGAGUACGGUCGCAAGACUGAAACUCAAAGGAAUUGACGGGGACUCGCACAAGCGGUGGAGCAUGUGGUUUAAUUCGACGCAACGCGAAAAACCUUACCAGGCCUUGACAUCCCUAUGACCGCUCUAGAGAUAGAGUUUCCUCUUCGGAGGUAUAGGUGACAGGUGGUGCAUGGUUGUCGUCAGCUCGUGUCGUGAGAUGUUGGGUUAAGUCC
rnacentral:rRNA from 1 species